UGUAAAGAUCUCCUCUUUGAUAGCUGAUCUGGUUCUCUCUCAGAUCUCACAGAUUCUUUUGAGAACUAAGAAGAACGGGGGGAAGAGAAGGAGGAAGGAAGCUCGGAUUUUGAGCAAAACUUUUUUUCCAUUUUUUUUCUCUAUUUCUCAUGCUCUAGGCAUCCAACUUUUAGACUCUAUUUAUGAGGAGGAGGGAUUAGGGUUUUGGAAGGGGGUGCCACACC
rnacentral:lncRNA from 1 species